rnacentral:rRNA from 1 species
UAAUACUCCAUAGAUUAGAGACACUGGAUGUUCUUUAGUCGAAAGUUCUGGCGCCUUAGGAUGGAUCUGCGGUCGAUUAGGUUGUUGUUGGGGUAACGGCCCAACAAGCCUGUAAUCGAUACGGGUUGUGGGAGCAAGAGCCCGGAGAUGGAAUCUGAGACACGAUUCCAGGCCCUACGGGGCGCAGCAGGCGCGAAAACUUUACAAUGCAGGAAACUGUGAUAAGGGAACUCCGAGUGCCCGUAUACGCGGGCUGUCCAGGUGUUUAAAAAUCAUCUGAAGAAAGGGCCGGGCAAGACCGGUGCCAGCCGCCGCGGUAAUACCGGCGGCUCGAGCGGUGGCCACUAUUAUUGGGCUUAAAGCGUCCGUAGCUGGACCGAUAAGUCUCUUGGGAAAUCCGCCGGCUCAACCGGCGGGCGUCUAAGGGAUACUGUUAGUCUAGGGACCGGGAGAGGUGAGAGGUACUCCGGGGGUAGGAGUGAAAUCCUGUAAUCCCCGGGGGACCACCGAUGGCGAAGGCAUCUCACCAGAACGGCUCCGACAGUGAGGGACGAAAGCUGGGGGAGCGAACCGGAUUAGAUACCCGGGUAGUCCCAGCCGUAAACUAUGCGCGUUAGGUGUAC